rnacentral:pre_miRNA from 1 species
AGUAAAAUUGCUGGUCAUAUAGUCACUCUGUGUUUAACUUUUUGAGGAACAGCCAGGCUAUUUUCCAAAGUGGCUGUAUCAUUUACAUACCUACCAGCAGU